GGCCAUUAUAGGGACAUGUGUUAAGUAUCAAUAGCUAUUUUCAAGCUUAAAAACUCUAAUGUUGGAUCUAAGUUUUCUUGUAUACUCUAUGUAUUCAGUUCUUCACCUGUUGUAACUUCACCAUGGUUCAUGGAGUGAAAUACUCUGUAGGGCCAUGUUUAAAAAUCUACUUCAUUUUGUCUGUUUGACAAACUUUUUUUUUGAGAUCUAUUGUUUGACAAACAUGCUCUACAUGUAUAGGGCCAUGUGCAGCUCUUACACAUUCCGUUAAAAACAUGUAACGGUCGUGAAACGUAAUUAGAAUGAUGGUUUCAACGAUUCCACGAUUAUUUUGCGACAUGAAAUAGUCUCUGAUCCUUGUCGAAAUGUGUCUUAUGACAUAUAUUAUUGUUUGUGAUUUGUUCUUCCGUAAUAUACGAUUCACCAUGUUCGAUAAUUGCCUUUUGUGCUAUAGGGCCAUUGUGUCAAUUUUGUUUAUUGUAAAUCAGGUGUAAUGACACCUGUUACGUCGGAUACACCAUGUAAUCGCUCUGUCAAGUGUAUUGCCUGAUUUUACAGGGUGAAAUAAUAAGCAUCAAUUAAUUUUUUAAACAACCACAACACCAGUGGAGGUUUUGAUCGAUGGUACUCUCGAUUCUGAUAUGUCCGAUCACAUCUGGUCGACAAUGUGAAUGUUGUUUCCCUUCUGGAAUUAUCAUAUUUGCGACCAGUACGCCAGAUUAUGUAUUUAGAAUAAAGAUAUCUUUUUUUUCUCAACGGUUGUAUCCAUUAUAGUGCUCUACAUGUAUAGGGUCAUGUGCAGAUCAUACAGAUUCUAUGAAACAUGUAACGGUCGCGAAACGCAAUCAGAAUGAUGGUUUCAACGAUUCCACGAUUAUUUUGCGACAUGAAAUAGUCUCUGAUCCUUGUCGAAAUGUGUCUUAUGGACAUAUCUAAUUGUUUGUGAUUUGUUCUUCCAUAAUAUCUGAUUCACCAUGUUAGAUAAUUGCCUUUCGUGCUAGGGCCAUUGUGUAAAUUUGGUUUAUUGUAAAUCAGGCGUAUUGACACCUGUUACUGUCGGAUACACCAUGUAAAUCGCCCUGUAAAGCGUAUAGCUUGAAUUUACAGGGUGAAAUAAUGUGCAUCAAUUGAUUUUUUUAACAACCACAACACCAGUUGCAGUGGAGGUUUUGAUCGAUGGUACUUUUAAUGCUGAUAAGUCCGACCACAGCUGGUCGGCAAUGUGAAUGCUGUUUCCCUUUGAACCGAUGCGCGUUGCUUUGUCCGUACUGGAAGUUUCAUCUUCGCGAUCAGUAGGCCAAAUGAUCUAUUUAGAGUAAACUAAGCUUACUUUAAUUUCUCAACGGUUGAAUCCAUUACAGUGGUCAGGUAAGGGCCACUAAUUGGAUUAUCUUCACCGUGCGUAUGUAAGAUACUUUUCACCCAGUUAUAGGCCUAAAGUAAAUUUUCCUUAUAUGAUUGUAUCAAGUUUAUAGUGGUCAGGUAAGGACCAUUAAUAUACGUUUUCUUUCUCUUUAUACCACAGCACCGGUCACAAAUUUGAUUGGGAAACCACUGUCAUUGUAGUAACCUACACUAGCUCCGCUAGGAAGACUUCUUUUUUUAUUUUCAGCAACUUGCAAUUAGAUUAGGAGGACCGGUAAGCCGAGUCGAGUGCUCAUGUCAGGAGCUGAUGACACGGAGGAACCGGAAGCAGGGAGGAGGAACGUCGGAUGCAGGAUGACCCUGCUUGCCGGGCAUCCCAUUACUGAUUUCCCAGAGAUGACGGUCUGCAAGAUGAGAUGUCACUCUGGACGAAGAAGGAACCGGAAGCAGGGAGGAGGACCGACGGAAGGACUAAAGACCCUGCUUGCAGAGCAAUUCUUCACCAAUUCAUAAGCUUUGCAGAUUCCUCUUGCUUCGUUUGAGCAGCAGAGACGAAGAACAUAACGGAGUGCAGUUGUUCACAGGGCAGGAAAAAGAAUUUUUUAACACUCGACUGAGUUUUACAAUAGCCAGCUUCUGAAAGUUCCCAUAAGUUUCUCUUAAAAAGUCGUCACAUUGGACUAAUCCGAGGGAUGUAUACACAACACCAUCCCAUUUCAAAAUCCCUCCGAAAUUCUGGUGGAUCAAUAUAAAAAGCUGCAAAUGUCAGUUAUUUAACAAUUGGUUUAAGUCGUACCUAAGUAUAUAGCACUAGCGCAUAGCAAGCUAAACAUUGUGCCGGACAUACGGCGGGCGCGCCUUCAAUCUGCGUGUCCGUCAUGCCUCCGGAAACAACCGAGACUCUUUCGGACAAACUCGGCCGCACUCGGAUUUCGUUGCGCGUAAACUAGUAAAGGGUUUCGUUUCCCCUUCUCCUAUUACCCUUCCCCCUUUUUUUGUUUAGUUUGUCUUAGUUUUUAGUUGAUUGUGUUUCAGUCAAAUA
rnacentral:lncRNA from 1 species